rnacentral:autocatalytically_spliced_intron from 1 species
GCACGCAAACCGUUUGGUUUGCAUGGGUUAGGGGGGAACUUGGUUCGUCCGCGAGGACGCCUCACCCCUCGGGCAAAAAGAAGUAUCGGCAGACAUGCAAGGAAGACCGCCUCACCUUUUGUGUGUGGGGGGGGCCAUUUAGUGCGGUUCUCCCGCAAAGUGGACACGGGCCGCCUCGCCUCCUGGGAAAAUGUCGGUUGGGUUCUCAAGCGUCAAAUUUGGUCGAUUUGGGAACCGCCCUUGCCCCCUUCCCAGGCGGACGCAGUUGGGUUCGCUAAGCGAAAACGGGACGGGGACCACGUCAUCACCUUCUGGGGGACAUGUUUCUGGGUCCUUGGGAGGUCGGUGGCGGGGUUCACGGGAGGGACCUGGCCCCCACCCCUUCACUGAAACGG